AGUGAACGCUGGCGGUAGGCCUAACACUUGCAAGUCGAACGGCAGCACAGUAAGAGCUUGCUCUUACGGGUGGCGAGUGGCGGACGGGUGAGGAAUACAUCGGAAUCUACUUUUUCGUGGGGGAUAACGUAGGGAAACUUACGCUAAUACCGCAUACGACCUACGGGUGAGAGCAGGGGAUCUUCGGACCUUGCGCGAUUGAAUGAGCCGAUGUCGGAUUAGCUAGUUGGCGGGGUAAAGGCCCACCAAGGCGACGAUCCGUAGCUGGUCUGAGAGGAUGAUCAGCCACACUGGAACUGAGACACGGUCCAGACUCCUACGGGAGGCAGCAGUGGGGAAUAUUGGACAAUGGGCGCAAGCCUGAUCCAGCCAUACCGCGUGGGUGAAGAAGGCCUUCGGGUUGUAAAGCCCUUUUGUUGGGAAAGAAAAGCAGCAGGUUAAUACCCCGCUGUUCUGACGGUACCCAAAGAAUAAGCACCGGCUAACUUCGUG
rnacentral:rRNA from 1 species